rnacentral:rRNA from 1 species
ACUCCUACGGGAGGCAGCAGUAGGGAAUCUUCCACAAUGGACGAAAGUCUGAUGGAGCAACGCCGCGUGAGUGAAGAAGGUUUUCGGAUCGUAAAACUCUGUUGUAAGGGAAGAACACGUACGAGAGUAGCUGCUCGUACCUUGACGGUACCUUAUUAGAAAGCCACGGCUAACUACGUGCCAGCAGCCGCGGUAAUACGUAGGUGGCAAGCGUUGUCCGGAAUUAUUGGGCGUAAAGCGCGCGCAGGCGGUUCUUUAAGUCUGAUGUGAAAGCCCACGGCUCAACCGUGGAGGGUCAUUGGAAACUGGAGAACUUGAGUACAGAAGAGGAAAGCGGAAUUCCACGUGUAGCGGUGAAAUGCGUAGAGAUGUGGAGGAACACCAGUGGCGAAGGCGGCUUUCUGGUCUGUAACUGACGCUGAGGCGCGAAAGCGUGGGGAGCAAACAGGAUUAGAUACCCUGGUAGUCCACGCCGUAAACGAUGAGUGCUAAGUGUUAGGGGGUUUCCGCCCCUUAGUGCUGCAGCUAACGCAUUAAGCACUCCGCCUGGG